UGGUUUUAAAAGCAAAAGAAAAUCUUCCAAACUAUCGACUUCGGCACCGGUGGAUGCUAUGGUGGAAUGAUUGCCAAGGAAAAUUGAAUCUAAAUCCCUGAUUGUCUCGUGCUUAGUUAUCAGUACAGGUUUGGUUUUAAAAGCAAAAGAAGAUCUUCCAAACUAUCGACUUCUGCACCGGUUGAUGCUACGGGGGAAUAAUUGCCAAGAAAAAUUGCUUCUAAAUCCCUGAUUCUCUCGUGCUUAGGUUUGGUUUUAAAAGCAAAAGAAAAUCUUCCAAACUAUCGACUUCUGCACCGGUUGAUGCUACGGUGGAAUAAUUGCCAAGAAAAAUUGCUUCUAAAUCCCUAAUUCUCUCGUGAUUAGGUAUCAGUACUGGUAAAGCUGUUCGUCUUGAUUUCUAACAAACUAGUUUUGUAGUGUAUAGGUCAAUGUGCUAAAUCUGACUGUAUUUUAUUUGGCUUCCACUUUUCAAGUGUGUAUUUUUAUCUUGUGUUUGCAUUAUGCUUUAAAAACAUUUUCCCAGUUGUUUACCAUAAAAGUUCCAUGUUUUUAAUGAAAAUAUUUGUGAAAAAAUAACUGCUAACAAAUUUACAAAGUGUUCUUUAGAAACAAAAAAUUAAAAUUUGUUGUGUCUGUUGUGUAGGUUUGGUUUUAAAAGCAAAAGAAAAUCUUCCAAACUAUCGACUUCUGCACCAAUUGAUGCUACGGGGGAAUAAUUGCCAAGAAAAAUUGCUUCUAAAUCCCUGAUUCUCUCAUGCUUAGGUUUGGCUUUAAAAGCAAAAGAAAAUCUUCCAAACUAUCGACUUCUGCACCGGUGGAUGCUAUGGUGGAAUGAUUGCUAAGGAAAAUUACUUCUAAAUCCCUAAUUGUCUCUUGCUUAGGUAUUAGUACAGGUUUGGUUUUAAAAGCAAAAGAAAAUCUUCCAAACUAUCGACUUCUACACCGGUGGAUGCUACGGUGGAAUGAUUGCUAAGGAAAAUUGCUUCUAAAUCCCUGAUUGUCUCGUGCUUAGGUAUUAGUGCUGGUAAAGCUGUACGUCUUGAUUUCUAACAAACUAGUAUUGUA